CUACAGUUGUUUGCUUAGAGUCAGAAUAGUGUAUUCAAAUGGGAUUACAGGCCUUAUGCAUCAAAACAUCAGUGCUUUUCCUUCUUAUUCUGUUUGAUAAAACUAGCAUGUAACACUUUAAAAAAAAAGAUAUCGCUCGCUCCUCUUGCAGACCACUCGCCUGUCAAAAACUCAUUUUCAAGAAUUUUUUAAAAACAAAAAAAUUUCGCUCGCUUGCCCCAAUUUUUUU
rnacentral:lncRNA from 1 species